rnacentral:piRNA from 1 species
UCAUAACCUUUUCUUUCCGGCCACUG